rnacentral:rRNA from 1 species
UACGAAGGGGGCGAGCGUUGUUCGGAUUUACUGGGCGUAAAGGGCGCGCAGGCGGCUCCAAAAGUCAGGCGUGAAAGCCCCGGGCUUAACCUGGGAGGUGCGUCUGGGACUGUGGAGCUAGAGUUCGGGAGAGGAGCGUGGAAUUCCCAGUGUAGAGGUGAAAUUCGUAGAUAUCGGGAGGAACACCUGUGGCGAAGGCGGCCAUCUGGACGGUAACUGACGCUGAGACGCGAAAGCGUGGGUAGCAAACAGG